rnacentral:rRNA from 1 species
AACGAACGCUGGCGGCAUGCCUAACACAUGCAAGUCGAACGAUUGCCUUCGGGUGAUAGUGGCGCACGGGUGCGUAACGCGUGGGAAUCUGCCCUUAGGUUCGGAAUAACAGCUGGAAACGGCUGCUAAUACCGGAUGAUAUCGCGAGAUCAAAGAUUUAUCGCCUGAGGAUGAGCCCGCGUUGGAUUAGGUAGUUGGUGGGGUAAAGGCCUACCAAGCCGACGAUCCAUAGCUGGUCUGAGAGGAUGAUCAGCCACACUGGGACUGAGACACGGCCCAGACUCCUACGGGAGGCAGCAGUGGGGAAUAUUGGACAAUGGGCGCAAGCCUGAUCCAGCAAUGCCGCGUGAGUGAUGAAGGCCCUAGGGUUGUAAAACUCUUUUACCCGGGAAGAUAAUGACUGUACCGGGAGAAUAAGCCCCGGCUAACUCCGUG